UUUAUCGGAGAGUUUGAUCCUGGCUCAGGACGAACGCUGGCGGCGUGCCUAAUACAUGCAAGUCGAGCGGACAGAUGGGAGCUUGCUCCCUGAUGUUAGCGGCGGACGGGUGAGUAACACGUGGGUAACCUGCCUGUAAGACUGGGAUAACUCCGGGAAACCGGGGCUAAUACC
rnacentral:rRNA from 2 species